rnacentral:rRNA from 1 species
CACGCAUGACACACUGCAUAUCAAUAAGCGGAGGAAAAGAAACUAACAAGGAUUCCCUUAGUAACGGCGAGUGAAGCGGGAAGAGCUCAAAUUUGAAAUCUUCAAGGUUCUACCUUGACGAAUUGUAGUUUAUAGAAGUGUUUUCUGUUAGUGGAGUGGCAAAAGUUCUUUGGAAUAGGACAUCAUAGAGGGUGAGAAUCCCGUAUUUGGUCAUUCCUCCUAGCGUUGUGAUACACUUUCAACGAGUCAGAUUGUUUGGGAAUGCAGUCCAAAAUGGGUGGUAAAUUUCAUCUAAAGCUAAAUAUUGGCGAGAGACCGAUAGCGAACAAGUACCGUGAGGGAAGGAUGAAAAGAACUUUGAAAAGAGAGUUAAACAGUACGUGAAAUUGUCAAAAGGGAAGCGUUUGACACCAGUGUUGUUUUUCCGAAAAUCAAUUACGAAUGUUUUGUUUUUAAGAAGUUAUGACUUCAUCGGCUUGCUUCUUUCUUUAUGAAACUUUCUUAAUGCACUUUUCGGUUAACAAGUCAACAUCAAUUUCUUUUGUUGUAAAAGGGUAUGAGGAAGGUGGCUUUCUUUUCGGAGAAAGUGUUUAUAGCCUUGUGCCUCUGCAAUCGGAGAGAUUGAGGUCUGCAGCGUAGAUCCUUCGGGGUUAGAUACAUUUGUGCUAAGUUAUAGCUUUUCAUAGACAACUUGUUGACUAUGUUAGUCUUGUAGCUUACUCGCUUAUGCUAUUUUACCUACGCUUAGGAUGUUGACGAGACUGUCGAUCUC